UACGUAGGGUGCGAGCGUCAAUCGGAAUUACUGGGCGUAAAGUGUGCGCAGGCGGCAGAGCAAGUCGAGUGUGAAAGCCCCGGGCUUAACUUGGGAAUUGCGCUCGAAACUACUUUGCUGGAGUGUGGCAGAGGAAGGUGGAAUUCCACGUGUAGCGGUGAAAUGCGUAGAGAUGUGGAGGAACACCAAUGGCGAAGGCAGCCUUCUGGGCCAACACUGACGCUCAUGCACGAAAGCGUGGGGAGCAAACAGG
rnacentral:rRNA from 1 species